GACGAAGGAUGCAAGCGUUAUCCGGAUUCAUUGGGUUUAAAGGGUGCGUAGGCGGACUUGUAAGUCAGUGGUGAAAUCUCUCAGCUUAACUGAGAAACUGCCAUUGAUACUGCAGGUCUAGAGUAUAGAUGACGUUGGCGGAAUAUGACAUGUAGUGGUGAAAUACUUAGAUAUGUCAUAGAACACCGAUUGCGAAGGCAGCUAACGAAACUAUAACUGACGCUGAGGCACGAAAAGUGCGGGGAUCAAACAGG
rnacentral:rRNA from 1 species